rnacentral:ncRNA from 1 species
UCAUAAAAGCGCCAGAACUUAAGUAAAAGUAAACUUAGUCUAUUUUGAGUAAUUUCGCCUAACCAAAUCAAAGAUUUUGGUUAAAAGGAAACUCAGCUAACGCUGAGUAAGUUCGCCUAACCAAAUCAAAGAUUUGGAGGCUCACUUAAGUUGACGAGGAUGGGGAGAAUCGAAUUCUUCGGCGGGUGCCCCACGGUAUCGCACUACCGUUAACGACUAGUAAAACUAUGAAGUGAUUCAUAGGACAA